UUAAGGAUGACAGAAUAGCCUGGAAGAAGACCCUACUUCUAUCCACAUAUAGGUCCAGGUAGUGAAAAGCAUCUACAAAUAGAUUGCAGAAUUGAGGGAGUGACUUUCAUGUUAAAUAGGGUAGGAUCCUCUUGAUUUACAGAUAUAUUCCCUGAUGAAUCACCUGUAAUUGAUUGGGGAGAUGGUGUUCAAAUAUAUAAUAGAGCCAGAUUCUUCUUGUUCCAAAAUGAUGACUUCAUGGCAAAGCUGGAGGAGCACAUCACCUAGCUUGAUCAGAAGUUGUAGAGAUUAUGGAGAUUGAAGUGUGUAGAGGAAGAAGGCAAGGAUCUACUUGAAGAAGUACUCUUAACCUGGGAUCCAUGGACCUUAAGAACUAUGCACCAGAAAGAAAGAGAUUAAAGAUUAUCUGAUUUGGCUGAUUCUUGAAGAUAACUCCUCAAUCCUCAGGAUGCUGAUGCUGAGCAUACUGGUAUUUCCAUUAAGCAUCAUCAUGCUUUUCUGGAAGAAGGAUCAUCAGUCUCUUCUAUACAGGCAAUUGGGGGUUUGCUAGUAAGGACUGUGAUCAUUGGCCAACUCUCCAUUACACUCAGUCAUGUGCUCUUAGGGAAAGAAAGAGCCACUCCCUGAUUUUAUUAGGACCAUGCCUGUAAAAUUAAUAGUGCCUUUCUUAUAGAGUUGUUGCAAGGAUCAACUGAGGUAAUUUGUCAACUGCUUUACAAACCUUAGCUGUUAAAAUGCCUCUCUAUAAAAAUUAUUUUUAUGGAUGCUUGUUUGUUUUUUUGUGUAUCUCAUCUUUCCUAAAAUAUGAGAAUUUUAUAUUCUCAUAUUUCACUCAUUCUCCCUCCCCACACUGAAUCAUGCUUUAUGAAAAAGACAACAAUGAAGUCAAACCAACAAAUGCAACUGUGUUUGACAGUGUACACACUCUCCUAGGCUCCUAAUUCACCUCCUUUCUGCUGAGAUGCAGAAGGUCUGUUUAAUUAUUAGUGUUAUGGAACUAUACUCAUAUUUUAUCUGAAUU